rnacentral:hammerhead_ribozyme from 1 species
GUACUGCUGAGGAGUCCCACAAUAUAGGACGAAACGGCCGUCCAGUGC